UGGAGACAAGGUAUGCCAGAGGCAGGACCAAUUCAAACAGCACUGCAGAAAUCCAGGACUGACUUGAAGGCUAUAAGGCAAUGCAUUGAUUCAAGAAAUGAAGAAGCAAGUUGUUAUUGGCAAUAUCAAGAAAUACAUCGUCUUCCAAUAUCUGGGUUUCAUACUGAGUUCAUAACCAGUAGAGUGGGAGGGCCUGCAAUCCAUUCUGGAGAAGCAAAUAAUGAAAUAACCUAACAUGACAAACCCAUGGCCUACUCCAGUUCACUGACCAAGGGUAAACAGCAGAAGUGGAGAGAAAACAGUUUUCCACUGGGAAAG